ACGGGAGGCAGCAGUGGGGAAUCUUGCGCAAUGGGCGGAAGCCUGACGCAGCAACGCCGCGUGAGGGAUGACGGCCUUCGGGUUGUAAACCUCUUUCAGCUUCGACGAAGCCGCCUUCUUUUGGGGGUGGUGACGGUAGGGGCAGAAGAAGCACCGGCUAACUACGUGCCAGCAGCCGCGGUAAUACGUAGGGUGCGAGCGUUGUCCGGAUUUAUUGGGCGUAAAGAGCUCGUAGGCGGUUCGUCGCGUCUGUCGUGAAAGCCCGCGGCUCAACUGCGGGUCUGCGGUGGAUACGGGCGGACUGGAGUCCGACAGGGGAGACUGGAAUUCCUGGUGUAGCGGUGGAAUGCGCAGAUAUCAGGAGGAACACCGGUGGCGAAGGCGGGUCUCUGGGUCGGUACUGACGCUGAGGAGCGAAAGCGUGGGGAGCGAACAGGAUUAGAUACCCUGGUA
rnacentral:rRNA from 1 species